UACGAGGGGGGCAAGCGUUGUUCGGAAUUAUUGGGCGUAAAGAGCUCGUAGGCGGCUUGUCGCGUCGGAUGUGAAAGCCCGAGGCUUAACCUCGGGUCUGCAUUCGAUACGGGCAGGCUAGAGUGUGGUAGGGGAGAUCGGAAUUCCUGGUGUAGCGGUGAAAUGCGCAGAUAUCAGGAGGAACACCGGUGGCGAAGGCGGAUCUCUGGGCCAUUACUGACGCUGAGGAGCGAAAGCGUGGGGAGCGAACAGG
rnacentral:rRNA from 1 species